GCACAUUUGAACUUGGCUUCCCCAACUUUUUCUUGCCCUUUUCUCUUUUUGAUAAAUAACCAUCUUGCUGUACAUCAAAUUCUUGAAGCGUUCCUGCUUUCCAAGCUUGUUCGUUUCACUUUCCUUGUAGAUUCUAUUUCUCCAUCUCCUGCACAUCCAUUAACGUCUCUGGGCUCUGGAAUCUAGCCUCUGUUCAUCCACGUUGCUCCUCAGGAAAGAAAAACAGUAUUAGUUUAACACUCCAGAGUAUCUAGAACUAAGUUAUGCUUUGAGGAGGUCUGAGCAGUUGAUGAGCAGUUCAGGCUGUGAAGGAGCUUGCAGGUGUUCCCCACAAGAAGAAAGCACAUACAUGUAUUCAAUGUAAGUUUUAUGUAACAUGGGAGCCUUCAGAAAUGAAGACCCAAGGAAACAGGGAAAUCUAUGGAUGUUUAGGUUUGAUGAAGACUUGGACAGUCAUGCAGAAAUAUGAUUGGACAAAGUGGGUGUGACCUAAUGGUUAUAAAAUGAGGGGAACUUAGCAAGGCCUUUGUUCAGAUUCGUCUUGGUGUUUUUUUGUCUUCAUUCCUUUCCCCCCAAUAUAAGGAACAGUCUUCUGUAAUGAGAGUCUUAUGACUUAUUUUAGAGAAAGGCCAGAGAAUUCUUUCAUGGCCUGCUUCAGGGGAGAAUGGUGGAAGAAGGUCAGAGAGACCUUCCUGCUUCUGCUGUCUCCUUAAAUGCCAGCAUGUCAUAUUCUAGGGUAGCGUGUUCUGGUCCCUGUUACUCAUCUUGUAUUGUCCUUCAAGCGGCAUCUUCCUGCUUCAUUUCUUAUUUGAGUUAAAUAUCAAAGUAAUAGGCAUUACUUACUUUUAGAAAAUUGCAACCAAUAAGAGGCAUUUCAUUUGUCGUGCAUUUAACUUUUGAGACAUAAUGAAUAGUUUCCUAAAACUUUUCAAAGCUGAAUGUUAUGGAAGAAACAUUCUCACCAUAACUCUUAAAAAUUGCAUAUCCUUACAAGUGAAUACCAUAUCAAAAUAUGAAAAUCAUUUCAGAUAUUUAUUAACUACUUAAAACUGACAAAUGGUAAACAGAAAUGUCAUUUCUUUCAUUAGUACAGAGAAAGCUCCCUCACUCCUCCCAAAUAUCUAUUGUGAUGAAUUGGUUGAUUAUUUUAAACAAUGUAGUUGCACAAAUAGACAUUAAUGUGAAUGAUGAUAGCAUGUCACUUCUGAGGAAUUGCAUUUAGGAGGUACGUGUAUGACAGCUUAUGUGUAAUCUUCAGGCUUGUAUUUAUGCCACAAGAAAAUAGACUUUCUUCAAUGAUUCACUUCAUCACAGGUGGCCUACCUACCUGAAAGACAUCUUCAUGCCAAAGUUGGCUGACUUUCUCAUGCACAACGAACCCAUAUUCCCGUAGGAAUUGAAGGAUAUGACUAAUCAGUUGAAAACAGUUCUUUCAUUUGUUUAACAUGUCAAACUCAGGAACAAGCCCCAAGGUUCAAGUUUUACUGAAAGACUUUUACCAUAGUGCUUUUUUGACAUAGAAAAGAAAAACAGAACAAUAAAAAAAAGAAAGUCAACAAUUUUUUCAGUGAAGAGACUCACAGAGAUUGAAGGUUCUCCGAAAACAUUCAGGCCAAUGCAUCAUUUUACAUAUGAGAAAACUGAAGUCCAGAGGUGACAAAAUUUGACAAAUCUACAUAGCUAAAAUGAAACCAAACAGACUCGUAAUCCUACUUGGUGCUGGAGGGAGGCUGCAAUCUGGGGAACUUGUUAUCCAGACAUCCCAGCUGGUAGAGUGUGCUACUACAUAGAUAAAGUCACUGUGGUUAGUGUCUAGCCUCAGCUUUAAAGUUCUGGAAAAUCAAAUUUGUCAAUAUUCCCAUGGUUAUUUAGAGUUAGGGGAACUAAUAUAAAUUCCAAAAUAUAAAUUUAUAAAAGAAAAUAUUGUGACUUUUCUUGUUCUCUAUGUAGAACAUGCCCAUAAUCUUCCAUAAUCAUCCUUAUGACAUGCAGCAUCCUUACAAUGACUGAGAAGUGGUAAAUUUGGAAGCUUCUUAGGUGAGUGUCGAGAGGGCCGAGGAACAGAAUAGUCUCGGGACAUCUAGUCAUCCCAAUUUUACAAUUGAGCUAUAGGCUGAUAAUACCACUGUCUCUGUUCUCUAAAUAAGCAUGGCAAAAUUGUGGUUUUCUGAAUGUCGUUCAUCAAUAAUCCAAGCUGGCUUUUUCACAGUUAGUGUCUAGAUAAGGUUCAACAACAUACAUGUGGUUUCUCAUGGUUGUAUUUUAUUUACAUUCUAUUCCCCCUUUCAGACCAAUCAAUCACCUUGAUUGAAGUUCUGACUGUGGUCUUGCUAAGAAUUCUUCUGGAAUAUGAUCCCUUUUGCUUGUCUCUUCAGCUUGCUUGGCAACUUUCUACCCACUUUCCUCAAAAUUCCGAGACAUCAGACUCACCUCCAGUUCAUCUCCAGUUCAUGUGACAGCUGCUGUCCCUGCUGGUGAAGUGGCUGUGCUGUCUGGGGUAUACACCCUGGGGUUCAUCGUCACACACCAAGAAUUCAGGACACAAUCACAUGUGGGUGGGUUAGGGAGUGGAAAAUUUAAUAGAUAGAAGAAAGGAGAGAGGAGAGCAGCUCUUAGAGAGAGAGAGAGAGAGAGACAUCUGAAAAGUGGGGAGGCAGUGGACCAAAACAGAUAUAAUAAGUUGGAGAAGGCGGUGUCUGAUUUACAUAGGGCUCACAGACUGGUUCCAUCAGGUAUGACGUCUACAUAGUGUGCGGGGGAAGGCUGGUUGCCCCACCCUAAUCUAAUUAUGCAAAUAGGCUUUCCAGUUGAUCAGAGCCAUCUUCUCUGCUCCUUACAAUACACUUGGCUGGCAGGGAAGGGAAGAUGGAGCCACCAGUUUGAAAAUGUCUAGUCCUUAGUUCCUGCUGGCAUUCACCUAUGCAAGCUCCCAGCUUGCAGGCUGCUCUUUGUUAGAAAAUGACUUGGGGCUGCUUUUCAUUAAAAAGAAAAGCCUUACCCAGGACUCCCAUGCCCUUGCUAUCUGCCUAAGCAAUUCCUUCUUAACUCCUAUAUCCCUGGGGAGAUGGUAGGAGUGCUGCCCCUGUCUCCUUGCUUGAGAGGGGAACUGCCCCAGGGAACCACCGCCAUCUUUCUCUAUUGCCUGUGUGACUGCAGCAUGGUGAGGUUCUAAGUCCCUGUACCCCUUUUGACUAAGGAUGUUUUCCUUCUUCCCCAUGAUUUUGCUGGAGAAUGAGAGGCAGAAUUAAAACGUGCUGCAUUUGUAUUCAGAUGUAAAGUUUGUGUCUCUGCAGAAAGCAUUGCUUGUGUAGAGAAGGAAAGCAUAUUGUUUUAGUCCACAGGGGAGCUAGAAAUGUGAUCAGUCAUCAGAAUAAGGCAGAUGUGUGCUAAAUAUUUCAGUCACUUAUUAGCAGAUAAUUUAUUGGCUUAUUAUCAAAUGUAGCAAAUAUUUGCCAUGUCUGCUUUGGGUUACUUUUUUUGGGAAGCCUUAGGCCGAUUUUUGGCAACAGGGAUUGAAAACAUUUUACCACUUCCCUUACUGAAAAGGCCUUGUUGCCUGGGUGGGUGCCCAAGUCGUUGGUCUCACAGCUGAGGAAAUCGACGAUGCAGACACACCAAGGACGAGGUCAGAGCAGAAGCAGAAGUUUAACAGGUGAAAGAAAGAGAACAGUUCUCUGCUGCAGAGAGGGGUCCCAGAAAGGGUUGCCGUCCCACAGUAAAAUGAAAGGGUUUUUUUCAUGCGCGUCCGUGUGAAGAGACACCAAACAGGCUUUGUGUGAGCAACGAAAGGAGUUGUUGUUUUGUAAGGGAUUGAGGUUUGGGAGAUUAAUCAGACACCAUCAGCAGGGAGAGCACCUGUGUUUUUGUGAAGAAUUAUGCCGAGGUAGGUAACGGAUGGAGAAGAAAUUUGAGCUUUGGAGGGGGAUACCCGAUAUCCUUUGGAGAAUAAAUGCUGAAGGAGCAGAAGUAUGUCUUGUUGAGAAGAUUCAAAGGAGGGGCUACAAAGAAGAAGGUCAUCAAUAUAUUGAAUAAGUUUCUUGCCCUCCAGAAAAGCAGAGAAAGGGUUGGGGCACAGAAAUAAGGGAUUGGGGCACAGAGAUAAGAGGUCAGGGUGUGGAAAUAAGGGAUUGGGGGUUCUUGCCCCCUAGAAAAGUGGGAAGGGGGGUUGGGGCAUGGAAAUAAGGGAUUGGGGCACAGAGAUAAGAGGUUGGGGUGUGGAAAUAAGGGAUUGGGUCACAGAAAUAAGAGGUCGGGGUGUGGAAAUAAGGGAUUGGGGGUUCUUGCCCCCUAGAAAAGCGGGACUUGCCACUAAGGGUGAAGGAGAAGGGGUUGAGGGGUACUUUCCCCUCCCCCAGAAAAGUGGGACUUGCCACUAAGGGUGAAGGAGAAGGGGUUGAGGGGUUCUUGCCCCUGCCCCAGAAAAUCAGAGAAGGGGUAGAGACAAGAAGAGAAGGGGUUGGGGUACUUGCCCCUUCCCCAGAAAAGCAGGGAAGGGGUAGAGACACAGAGAGAAGGGGUUGGGGUACUUGCCCCUUCCCCAGAAAAGCAGAGAACGGGUAGAGACACAGAGAGAAGGGGUUGGGGUACUUUCCCCUUCCCCAGAAAAGCGGGACUUGCCGCUAAGGGUGAAGGACCAAGGCAGGCAUCCCUGCAUGGUCUGACACCCUUGAAACGUGGGUGAAUAAUCAGAGAGGUGUCCCUGCAAUGAUUAAACAGCAAGGGAAGGCUGCCUUCCCAGUCCGUGACCAGCGCUGGAGUUUUGGGUCCACAGAUAAAACGUGUCUCCUUUGUCUCUACCAGAAAAUGAAAGGAAUUGAAACUAAGAGAAGGGAGAGAUUGAAGUGUGGCGCCAAGAUUGAAAGGAGAAAGAGGUUGAGGGAUAGUGAGGGAGGUUGGAGAAGAGAGUAAAAAGAGGCGGCUUACUGGAUUUAAAAUUGGUGAGAUGUUUCUUGGGCUGGUUGGUCUGAGGACCUAAGGUCGUAGGUGGAUCUUUCUCAUGGAGCAAAGAGCAGGAGGACGGGGGAUUGAUCUCCUAAGGGAGGUCCCCCGAUCCGAGCCACGGCAUCAAAGUUCACUCGAGUCCAUGUGAAGAGACACCAAACAGGCUUUGUGUGAGCAACAUGGCUGUUUAUUUCACCUGGGGGCAGGCGGGCUGAGUCCGAAAAGAGAGUCAGCGAAGGGAGAUGGGGUGGGGCCGUUUUAUAGGAUUACUUCAGGCCAUCUGGGCGUAUACGUGCAAGUCACAGGGGAUGCGAUGGCUUGGCUUGGGCUCAGAGGCCUGACAGUUUUUAUAAGUGACCUAGUGGGGAGGCAGUAUUUUACCUACAUAGGGUGUGAAAAAACAGUUAAGACCAGGUGUACCAUCAGCAUAGAGUGCGAAUCUCUGGCAGCCCCCAUCCCAGCCUUUUAUUAUGGAGGCGGGUCCUUUGCCUGAGCUACUCCAUGUUGCUUUCCUACUGUGCAGGUGAAAGCUAUUCUAAACCUUCUCUAACAAAGCUUAAAAACAUCCUAAGAAAGACUGUAAAGGUCAAACAUCCUCAAAGAGAUUAAUCUCCUUCCAGAACAAAGUACAGAGUAUUUUAAAGGAAGACAGGAAUCCAGACAUUGAACAACAGUGGUGAUGUCAAAUAUCCAAUUAAAAUUACUAGACAUGUGGGGAAGCAAGCAAAUGUGACCCUACCAAGAAAAAAAAUCAGUUGAUAGAAACAGAGCAGUGACUUUCUAGUUACCAAAGCUAAUGAUUUUAAUUUAGUUGUGAUCAUCCUAUUUGAUCCAUACUGUGGGUUUGUUUGCCAGGAUGCUCAAAAUUGAAAGUUGAAACUUGUAAUAAAUUUAGCAACGACAUGUGUCCCCAAAUCUUAAAUUGAGAUUUUCCAAGAUCUUUGGUAACACAAGGCACACACAUAUGCCUCACUGAGUGCAAGCUCCACUGCCUUAUGGUGCCUCCCUGAUGCCGAGGACUUGGUAACCGUGGCACUAAUUCUGUGUGGGGGUAUUAUUUUCCCCAUUUUACAAAUGAGGAAUCUGAGGUUCAUACAGUGUAAGUGCGGAUAUCAUAAGUGAUACCAUAAGUGUCACAGCCUGAUAUCUUGAAAACUCUUUAACCGGUUCUCAUUCAUUCAUUUAUGCACCCUUUAGUUUAUUCAUCCAUUAAUAGUAUAUUGCUGUUCUCUGUGUGCCAAGGACUGUUCUGGAAUCUGAGACAUACGAAGAUUUCUUACAUCCCCACAGUUGAGUGAGAAUGACAGAAAUCAUGACACCAGCUGGCAGGUGCUGCAGUGAAGGUGUAUGCAGAGGAGUUUUGAGAACUUAGAAGGGAAGAGUCAUUUAGUAGAAGAGAGUACAUCUGAGCUUCCCAUUUCUGGGACUCUCUAUGUCCAGCAUGGUAAUGGAGUCUUACAUUCAUCUCCUUUUUCACCUGCCAGUUUUCACUGAUUCUUAUGUCUCAGUAUAAAUUCCACUUUGGAAAAUACUUUCAUGACUCCUUUAAGCAAACCUGAUUUAUUCUUUAAAUUUUUAUUAUGUUUUUACCUUUGUCCUUAGGUGAGACCACUCCAAGUUAUUUCAAGCAAGUGGGAUCCAUCCUGCUCAUAUUUCCAAUCCCCUCUUCCAUCCCAUCCAAGUCUCCAUCACUUACCAUAUCUUCCUUCAGGACACAGGAGUCAAUAGGCCACACCUGGAAACCAUCUGAU
rnacentral:lncRNA from 1 species